rnacentral:rRNA from 1 species
AUACGUAGGGUGCAAGCGUUAAUCGGAAUUACUGGGCGUAAAGCGUGCGCAGGCGGUUUUGUAAGAAAGAGGUGAAAUCCCCGGGCUCAACCUGGGAACUGCCUUUGGGACUGCAAGGCUAGAGGAAGGCAGCGGGGGGUGGAAUUCCGCGUGUAGGAGUGAAAUGCGUAGAUAUGCGGAGGAACACCGAUGGCGAAGGCAAUCCCCUGGGCCUGUACUGACGCUCAUGCACGAAAGCGUGGGGAGCAAACAGGAUUAGAUACCCUGGUAGUCCACGCCCUAAACGAUGUCAACUGGUUGUUGGGUCUUCAUUGACUCAGUAACGAAGCUAACGCGUGAAGUUGACCGCCUGGGGAGUACGGCCGCAAGGUUGAAACUCAAAUGAAUUGGCGGGG